GACGUAGGGCGCGAGCGUUGUCCGGAUUUAUUGGGCGUAAAGAGCUCGUAGGCGGCUUGUUGCGUCGACUGUGAAAACCCGCGGCUUAACUGCGGGCUUGCAGUUGAUACUGCCGUGGCUAGAGUCCGGUAGGGGAGCGUGGAAUUCCUGGUGUAGCGGUGAAAUGCGCAGAUAUCAGGAGGAACACCAGCGGCGAAGGCGGCGCUCUGGGCCGGAACUGACGCUGAGGAGCGAAAGCGUGGGUAGCAAACAGG
rnacentral:rRNA from 1 species